rnacentral:ncRNA from 1 species
CCCAGGAGUAGAAGCGUUCAACCGUCCCGCCCGGGACGGCAGGAAAUUGCUCCCGAC